UACGAGGGGAGCAAGCGUUGUUCGGAUUUACUGGGCGUAAAGGGCGCGUAGGCGGCGCAACAAGUCACUUGUGAAAUCUCCGGGCUUAACCCGGAACGGUCAAGUGAAACUGUCGUGCUAGAGUACAGAAGGGGCAACUGGAAUUCUCGGUGUAGCGGUGAAAUGCGUAGAUAUCGAGAGGAACACCUGCGGCGAAGGCGGGUUGCUGGGCUGAUACUGACGCUGAGGCGCGAAAGCCAGGGGAGCGAACGGG
rnacentral:rRNA from 1 species